rnacentral:rRNA from 1 species
UGAAUACGAGAUGCUACGGCGUCGAAGCAGUCUAUGUCAUACUUCCAAGAAAAGCUCGCACUGUCAUAAACAAAUAAUGCCUGUACCAUAACCGACACAGGUGGGUAGGUAGAGUAUACUAAGGGGCGCGAGAUAACUCUCUCUAAGGAACUCGGCAAAAUGACUCCGUAACUUCGGGAGAAGGAGUGCCUUAUUUAUAAGGUUGCAAUAACAAGAUCCAAGCAACUGUUUACCAAAAACACAGGUCUCCGCUAAGUCGUAAGACGAUGUAUGGGGGCUGACGCCUGCCCAGUGCCAGAAGGUUAAAGAAGUUGGUUAGCAUCCGCGAAGCUGAUAACUGAAGCCCUGGUGAACGGCGGCCGUAACGAUAACGGUCCUAAGGUAGCGGAAUUCCUUGUCGGGUAAGUUCCGACUCGCACGAAAGGCGUAAUGAUUUGGAUACUGUCUCGGAGAGGGGCUCGGUGAAAUAGACUUGUCUGUGAAGAUGCGGACUACCUGCACCAGGACAGAAAGACCCUAUGAAGCUUUACUGUAACCUGAAAUUGAAAUUGGACUUUACUUGCGCAGUAUAGGUGGGAGGCGUUGAGAAUAUUCUUGCGGGAUUAUUGGAGCCAUCAGUGAGAUACCACUCUUGUAAUGUUAGAUUUCUAACUUUGUAUCAUUAUCUGGUCAAAGAACAGUUUCAGGCGGGCAGUUUGACUGGGGCGGUCGCCUCCUAAACGGUAACGGAGGCGCACAAAGGUUUCCUCUGAACGGGUAGAAAUCGUAUCUAGAGUGUAAAGGCAUAAGGAAGCCUGACUGUGAGACCUACAAGUCGAGCAGGGACGAAAGUCGGUCUUAGUGAUCUGACGGUGCUGAGUGGAAAGGCCGUCACUCAACGGAUAAAAGUUACUCUAGGAUAACAGGCUGAUCUCCCCCAAGAGUUCACAUCGACGGGGAGGUUUGGCACCUCGAUGUCGGCUCAUCGCAUCCUGGGGCGGUAGUACGUCCCAAGGGUUGGGCUGUUCGCCCAUGAAAGCGGUACGCGAGCUGGGUUCAGAACGUCGUGAGACAGUUCGGUCCAUAUCCGGUGUAGGCGUUAGAAUAUUGAGAGGAGCCUUCUUUAGUACGAGAGGACCGAGAAGGACAUACCUCUGGUGUACCAGUUAUCGUGCCAACGGUAAACGCUGGGUAGCUAUGUGUGGAGUGGAUAACCGCUGAAAGCAUCUAAGUGGGAAGCCCACCUCAAGAUAAGUA